rnacentral:pre_miRNA from 1 species
GGAAGAGAGAGAGAGAGAAGUGGGUCUAAGAGGUGUAGGAACGGGAACAUGAAGAAAAUUAACUGUAAUGCCUCCUCUAGUAUUGGUGGGGAGAAAUGGUCUGAUGUUUCUGAUGCCUCCCAUUCCUAUGGAUCUUAGGUUCUCCUUCCUCUUACUUUUUGCU